rnacentral:rRNA from 1 species
GGUCAAGCGACUAAGCGCAUACGGUGGAUGCCUUGGCAGUCAGAGGCGAUGAAGGACGUUGUAGCCUGCGAUAAGCGUCGGGGAGCUGGCAAACAAGCUUUGAUCCGACGAUGUCCGAAUGGGGAAACCCACCCAGUGUAAGCUGGGUAUCCCUAGCUGAAUACAUAGGCUAUGGAGGCGAACCCGGGGAACUGAAACAUCUAAGUACCCGGAGGAAAGGAAAUCAAUUGAGAUUCCCUCAGUAGCGGCGAGCGAACGGGGAAGAGCCUGCAAGUGAUAGCAGUGCGGUUAGCGGAACGGUCUGGAAAGUCCGGCGAUAGAGGGUGAUAGCCCCGUACGCGAAAACUGCGCUGUGGUACUGAGCUUGCGACAAGUAGGUCGGGACACGUGAUAUCUUGACUGAAGAUGGGGGGACCAUCCUCCAAGGCUAAAUACUCCUGACUGACCGAUAGUGAACCAGUACCGUGAGGGAAAGGCGAAAAGAACCCCGGCGAGGGGAGUGAAAUAGAUCCUGAAACCGUGUGCGUACAAGCAGUGGGAGCCCGAUCUUCAAGCCGCUUCGGUGGUGAGAAGAGGCCGUCCGAGCUGAGUUGAGCGGUUGUCAUCGCGUAGCGAUGACCAACCCCUUAAACAAGGCAGAGGGGGCUUGAAGAUCGGGUGACUGCGUACCUUUUGUAUAAUGGGUCAGCGACUUAUUGUCUGUAGCAAGGUUAACCGUUUAGGGGAGCCGUAGGGAAACCGAGUCUUAAUAGGGCGUAUAGUUGCAGGCAAUAGACCCGAAACCGGGCGAUCUAUCCAUGGCCAGGCUGAAGGUUGGGUAACACUAACUGGAGGGCCGAACCCACUAACGUUGAAAAGUUAGGGGAUGAGCUGUGGAUCGGAGUGAAAGGCUAAUCAAGCCCGGAGAUAGCUGGUUCUCCUCGAAAUCUAUUUAGGUAGAGCGUUGUGUAUCACCCUGGGGGGUAGAGCACUGUUUGGGCUAGGGGGUCAUCCCGACUUACCAACCCCAUGCAAACUCCGAAUACCCAGGAGUGGCAGCACGGCAGACAGACGGCGGGUGCUAACGUCCGUCGUCGAGAGGGCAACAACCCAGACCGCCAGCUAAGGUCCCCAAUACCGGUUAAGUGGGAAACGAUGUGGGAAGGCUCAGACAGCUAGGAGGUUGGCUUAGAAGCAGCCAUCCUUUAAAGAAAGCGUAAUAGCUCACUAGUCGAGUCGGCCUGCGCGGAAGAUGUAACGGGGCUAAACCGGUAACCGAAGCUGCGGGUAGGUGGAUUCUUUGGAGUUCAUUUACGGUAGAGGAGCGUUCUGUAAGCCGUUGAAGGUAGAUCGGGAGGUCUGCUGGAGGUAUCAGAAGUGCGAAUGCUGACAUGAGUAACGAUAAGGGGGGUGAAAAACCUCCCCGCCGGAAGAUCAAGGUUUCCUGUCCAACGUUAAUCGGGACAGGGUGAGUCGGCCCCUAAGGCGAGGGCGAAAGCCGUAGUCGAUGGGAAACGGGUUAACAUUCCCGUACUUUUUCAUGGUGCGAUGGGGGGACGGAGUAGGCUAGGCCAGCGCGGCGUUGGUUGUCCGCGUUUAAGGCAGUAGGCUGGAAUCUUAGGCAAAUCCGGGAUUCUGAGGCCGAGAGCUGAUGACGAGUUCAAGGGGAGACCCGCGAGCGAAGUGGUUGAUGCCAGACUUCCAGGAAAAGCCUCUAAGCUUCAGCCAUGAAGGAACCGUACUGUAAACCGACACAGGUGAUCAGGUAGAGAAUACCAAGGCGCUUGAGAGAACUCGGGUGAAGGAACUAGGCAAAAUGGUACCGUAACUUCGGGAGAAGGUACGCCGGCUUUGGUGAUGGGACUUGCUCCCUGAGCUGAGGCUGGUCGAAGUGACCAGGUGGCUGCGACUGUUUAUUAAAAACAUAGCACUCUGCAAACUCGAAAGAGGACGUAUAGGGUGUGACGCCUGCCCGGUGCCGGAAGGUUAAAUGAUGGGGUUAUCUUCGGAGAAGCUCUUGAUUGAAGCCCCGGUAAACGGCGGCCGUAACUAUAACGGUCCUAAGGUAGCGAAAUUCCUUGUCGGGUAAGUUCCGACCUGCACGAAUGGCGUAACGAUGGCCACACUGUCUCCACCCGAGACUCAGUGAAAUUGAAAUCGCUGUUAAGAUGCAGUGUACCCGCGGCUAGACGGAAAGACCCCGUGAACCUUUACUACAGCUUCACACGGGACUUUGACCUUACUUGUGUAGGAUAGCUGGGAGGCUUUGAAGCGGUGGCGCUAGCCAUCGUGGAGCCGCCCUUGAAAUACCAGCCUGGUAAUGUUGAGGUUCUAACCCAGGCCCGUUAUCCGGGCCGGGGACAGUGUGUGGUGGGUAGUUUGACUGGGGCGGUCUCCUCCCAAAGCGUAACGGAGGAGCACGAAGGUGCGCUAAUCACGGUCGGAAAUCGUGAGGUUAGUGUAAAGGCACAAGCGCGCUUGACUGCGAGACUGACAAGUCGAGCAGGUAGGAAACUAGGUCUUAGUGAUCCGGCGGUUCUGAAUGGAAGGGCCGUCGCUCAACGGAUAAAAGGUACUCCGGGGAUAACAGGCUGAUACCGCCCAAGAGUUCACAUCGACGGCGGUGUUUGGCACCUCGAUGUCGGCUCAUCACAUCCUGGGGCUGAAGCCGGUCCCAAGGGUAUGGCUGUUCGCCAUUUAAAGUGGUACGCGAGCUGGGUUUAGAACGUCGUGAGACAGUUCGGUCCCUAUCUGCCGUGGGCGUUGGAGAAUUGAGGGAAGCUGCUCCUAGUACGAGAGGACCGGAGUGGACGAACCCCUGGUGUUCCGGUUGUCACGCCAGUGGCAUUGCCGGGUAGCUACGUUCGGACGGGAUAACCGCUGAAAGCAUCUAAGCGGGAAGCCUCUCCCAAGAUGAGUUCUCCCUGACCCCUUGAGGGUCCUGAAGGGCCGUCCAAGACUAGGACGUUGAUAGGCUGGGUGUGGAAGCGUUGUAAGGCGUUGAGCUAACCAGUACUAAUUGCCCGUGAGGCUUGACCAU